UAGGGAAUUUUCCACAAUGGACGAAAGUCUGAUGGAGCAACGCCGCGUGAACGAUGAAGGCUUUCGGGUCGUAAAGUUCUGUUGUUAGGGACGAACAAGUGCCGUUCAAAUAGGGCGGCACCUUGACGGUACCUAACGAGAAAGCCACGGCUAACUACGUGCCAGCAGCCGCGGUAAUACGUAGGUGGCAAGCGUUGUCCGGAAUUAUUGGGCGUAAAGCGCGCGCAGGCGGUUAUGUAAGUCUGAUGUUAAAGCCCGGGGCUCAACCUCGGUCCGCAUUGGAAACUGUGUAACUUGAGUGCAGAAGAGGAAAGUGGUAUUCCACGUGUAGCGGUGAAAUGCGUAGAGAUGUGGAGGAACACCAGUGGCGAAGGCGACUUUCUGGUCUGUAACUGACGCUGAGGCGCGAAAGCGUGGGGAGCAAACA
rnacentral:rRNA from 1 species